ACUGUCUGAGGACUUAGUCACAUUCAACCUUUCCCUCAUCGGCAACCAUCCUUACCAACAACCCGCAUCGUACUGCCACCCUGUCCUGCCAUCCUGGACACGUGCCCAAAAAUGGUGUCAACACUUAUACUCUAUCAUCACAUAUUCCAUUUGACUUAAGUAACACAGGGUUUUAAAAUGAUUUUAUAAUAAUUGCAAGUUUUCAGGAAAUAUCACAGAUUGAGAUUAAUCAUGAUUAGAAAUAUUUUAAUCUUUUUAUUUUAUCAUGUCGGAAACAGUAAUCUGCAUAAUCCAAAAUAAAUAUAUGUGUAAAGUAAAGUGUGCAGAGUGUGUACCUGAGUGGUGGAGUGGUGUAGUCGGAGUGUGGUUGGCAUGUUGAGGGAUCUCCCCCAUACUUGUUUUCUGCUUUCUUGCACAAAAAUAAAGUAGAGACACACAAAACAUAAUAAUAAUAGUAAUACUCUUUAUUGAUCUUGAGGCAUUUAUGACAAAAAGACUGAUAGCAAACUGAUAACAAACUGAUAAUAACAAACUGAUAAUAGCAAACUUAAACCGAAUUUAAAGAUAGAUAAGAUGUAUUGCCUCAAGGUCUAAUCUAGAUAACUUAGCGGCGCUCUAAUUCCUUGAUCUUCUUGUUGGCACUGGCAAGAUCCUGCCUAAGGCCUAGUAUAAUGGUGUUGUGGUUAGAGAGCUGCCUAGUGAGGGAAUUAAUCGAAGACUGGAGGUCUAUGAUAAUUCUAUCUAGCCUGCGAACUUCCUCAUCAAUAUCCAUUAUAGUCUUGCGACGCUUGGGAGGUGUCUCAAAAGCAUUGAGAGCGUGCUUCGGGG
rnacentral:lncRNA from 1 species